rnacentral:rRNA from 1 species
CAAUAGCGUAUAUUAAAGUUGUUGCAGUUAAGAAGCUCGUAGUUGGACCUUGGACCUGGACAGGCGGUCCGCCUCACGGCGUGUACUGUCUUGCUGGGUCUUUCCUCUUGGUGAUCUGUUGUUUCGGCAGCAGGGAACCAGGACUUUUACUUUGAAAAAAUUAGAGUGUUCAAAGCAGGCUCGACGCCGGAAUAUAUUAGCAUGGAAUAAUAAAAUAGGACGUGCGGUUCUAUUUUGUUGGUUUUUGGAAUCGCCGUAAUGAUUAAUAGGGACAGUCGGGGGCAUUAGUACUCACAUGCUAGAGGUGAAAUUCUUGGAUUUUGUGAAGACUAACUUCUGCGAAAGCAUUUGCCAAGGAUGUUUUCAUUAA